GACAGAGGGGGCAAGCGUUGCUCGGAAUUACUGGGCGUAAAGGGCGCGUAGGCGGGAUGGCAAGUCGGUCGUGAAAUCCCUCGGCUCAACCGAGGAACGUCGAUCGAUACUGCUGUUCUUGAGGAUUGCAGAGGAGACUGGAAUUCCCGGUGUAGCGGUGAAAUGUGUAGAGAUCGGGAGGAACACCGGUGGCGAAGGCGGGUCUCUGGGCAAUUCCUGACGCUGAGGCGCGAAAAGCGUGGGGAGCAAACGGG
rnacentral:rRNA from 1 species